GCUUGCUUCUUUUGCUGACGAGCGGCGGACGGGUGAGUAAUGCCUGGGAAUAUACCCUGAUGUGGGGGAUAACUAUUGGAAACGAUAGCUAAUACCGCAUAAUCUCUUCGGAGCAAAGAGGGGGACCUUCGGGCCUCUCGCGUCAGGAUUAGCCCAGGUGGGAUUAGCUAGUUGGUGGGGUAAUGGCUCACCAAGGCGACGAUCCCUAGCUGGUCUGAGAGGAUGAUCAGCCACACUGGAACUGAGACACGGUCCAGACUCCUACGGGAGGCAGCAGUGGGGAAUAUUGCACAAUGGGGGAAACCCUGAUGCAGCCAUGCCGCGUGUAUGAAGAAGGCCUUCGGGUUGUAAAGUACUUUCAGUUGUGAGGAAGGCAGUUAAGUUAAUAGCUUGGCUGUUUGACGUUAGCAACAGAAGAAGCACCGGCUAACUCCGUGCCAGCAGCCGCGGUAAUACGGAGGGUGCGAGCGUUAAUCGGAAUUACUGGGCGUAAAGCGCAUGCAGGCGGUCUGUUAAGCAAGAUGUGAAAGCCCGGGGCUCAACCUCGGAACAGCAUUUUGAACUGGCAGACUAGAGUCUUGUAGAGGGGGGUAGAAUUUCAGGUGUAGCGGUGAAAUGCGUAGAGAUCUGAAGGAAUACCGGUGGCGAAGGCGGCCCCCUGGACAAAGACUGACGCUCAGAUGCGAAAGCGUGGGGAGCAAACAGGAUUAGAUACCCUGGUAGUCCACGCCGUAAACGAUGUCUACUUGAAGGUUGUGGCCUUGAGCCGUGGCUUUCGGAGCUAACGCGUUAAGUAGACCGCCUGGGGAGUACGGUCGCAAGAUUAAAACUCAAAUGAAUUGACGGGGGCCCGCACAAGCGGUGGAGCAUGUGGUUUAAUUCGAUGCAACGCGAAGAACCUUACCUACUCUUGACAUCCAGAGAAUUCGCUAGAGAUAGCUUAGUGCCUUCGGGAACUCUGAGACAGGUGCUGCAUGGCUGUCGUCAGCUCGUGUUGUGAAAUGUUGGGUUAAGUCCCGCAACGAGCGCAACCCUUAUCCUUGUUUGCCAGCACGUAAUGGUGGGAACUCCAGGGAGACUGCCGGUGAUAA
rnacentral:rRNA from 1 species